UUCUUAUCAAAUUUUUAAUAAGUACCACCUGCUCAAUGAAUUAUUUAAAUAGCCGCGGAAAUUUAACCGUGCGAAGGUAGCAUAAUCAUUAGUCCUUUAAUUAGGGAAUAGAAUGAAAGGUGAAACAUUUCAAUUUCUAUUUUAUUUUAUUUCUUUUAAAUUAAAUUAAGAAUAAAAAUGUUCUUAUCUACAAAAUAGACGAUAAGACCCUAUUGAACUUUACUUUAGUUUAGCUGGGGCAGCUAAAUAAAAAUUAUUUUAUUAUUGUAUAUUAUAUAAAUGACCCAAUAAAAUUGAUUUUAUGAACAAGUUACCAUAGGGAUAACAGCGUAAUAUUUUUUUAAAGUUCUUAUUUAAAUAAAGGAUUGCGACCUCGAUGUUGAAUUAGUGUCACUUUAAUAAUGCAAAAAUUUUAAAAGUAGGUCUGUUCGACCUUUAAAACAUUACAU
rnacentral:rRNA from 1 species